rnacentral:rRNA from 1 species
UUCAGACUUAAGAGCUAUUCAAAUAAGGCACAGCUUAUUUGAAAUAGGACACAACCUACAACAUAGGGUAAAUGAGAGUGACCUAAAUAAAGUGGGCCUAAAAGCAGCCACCUUCAGAAAAGCGUUAAAGCUUAACUACCCUCACUCAUAAUGCCUAAAAUCUCCACUAACCCUUCAUUACUACUGAACAAUUUUAUACUCAUAUAAAAGCUAUCAUGCUAGAACUAGUAACAAGAAACUGCUUUUCUCCUAAAUGUAAACAUAAACCAAAAUAGACCAUCUAUUGGUUAUUAACGUAAAUGCUAAACUGUAGCAACACUCACUAGAAAAUCCUAUAAACCCCAACGUUAACCUUACACCAGAACAUUACAGGAAAGAUUAAAAGAAAAAGAAGGAACUCGGCAAAUUUUAGCCUCGCCUGUUUACCAAAAACAUCGCCUCUUGACAAACAUAAGAGGUCCAGCCUGCCCAGUGACAAAGUUCAACGGCCGCGGUACCCUAACCGUGCAAAGGUAGCACAAUCACUUGUUCUUUAAAUGAGGACUCGUAUCAACGGCACUACGAGGGCUAUACUGUCUCCUUUUUCUAAUCAGUGAAACUGAUCUCCCCGUGAAGAAGCGGGGAUUGUAAUAUAAGACGAGAAGACCCCAUGGAGCUUUAAACUCACCAUGUACCCCUGUGCUCCCAUACCCCCAGACACAACAGACCUACAUGUUAGUUUUAGGUUGGGGUGACCACGGAGUAUAACUUAACCUCCAUAGCAAAUGGGCUAAUACCCUUAUCCACGAGACACAACUCUAAGAAUUACUAAACUAAUGCUUACGACCCGAUAUUCGAUCCAUGAACCAAGUUACCCUGGGGAUAACAGCGCAAUCUACUUCAAGAGCUCAUAUCGACAAGUAGGUUUACGACCUCGAUGUUGGAUCAGGGUAUCCCGGUGGUGCAGCCG